AACUGCCCACAGCUCCUAAGACAGCGUCAAGAAGAAUGUGUUUGCUAUUAGGGAUCCAACUGUGGACGUGCAGAGAAAAGGCAGAAUGAUCUCCAGCAGGUACCACGCGCCAUCUACUGGAGCCCGAAGCGGCUCCAUCCUUCAACAAGCUGCUGCAGCACAAAGCUGCGUUUCACAUAUACGGUGAAUUUAAACCAUAUGGAAGACCUACAUGUUUCGAGACUACUGCUUAAAUUCAUUAAGUACAAAAUAAAAAAUGGCUUUUUUUAGAAUAAAAUAAAAU
ensembl:lncRNA